UACAGAGGGGGCAAGCGUUGUUCGGAAUUACUGGGCGUAAAGGGCGCGUAGGUGGCCUUCUAAGUUGAACGUGAAAUCCCUGGGCUCAACCCAGGAACUGCGUCCAAGACUGGGAGGCUUGAAUCCGGGAGAGGGAUGCGGAAUUCCAGGUGUAGCGGUGAAAUGCGUAGAUAUCAGGAGGAACACCGGUGGUGUAAACGGCUUCUGGACCAUAACUGACGCUGAGGCACGAAAGCGUGGGAUCAAACAGG
rnacentral:rRNA from 1 species